rnacentral:rRNA from 1 species
CACGAACGCUGGCGGCAGGCUUAACACAUGCAAGUCGAGCGCCCCGCAAGGGGAGCGGCAGACGGGUGAGUAACGCGUGGGAAUCUACCCAUCUCUACGGAAUAACGCAUGGAAACGUGUGCUAAUACCGUAUACGUCCUUCGGGAGAAAGAUUUAUCGGAGAUGGAUGAGCCCGCGUUGGAUUAGCUAGUUGGUGGGGUAAAGGCCUACCAAGGCGACGAUCCAUAGCUGGUCUGAGAGGAUGAUCAGCCACACUGGGACUGAGACACGGCCCAGACUCCUACGGGGGGCAGCAGUGGGGAAUAUUGGAAAAUGGGCGCAAGCCUGAUCCAGCCAUGCCGCGUGAGUGAUGAAGGCCCUAGGGUUGUAAAGCUCUUUCACCGGUGAAGAUAAUGACGGUAACCGGAGAAGAAGCCCCGGCUAACUUCGUGCCAGCCGCCGCCGUAAGAC